rnacentral:rRNA from 1 species
GGAAUAUUGGUCAAUGGACGCAAGUCUGAACCAGCCAUGCCGCGUGCAGGAUGAAGCAUCUAUGGUGUGUAAACUGCUUUUGUACGAGAAGAAACAACUCUACGUGUAGAGUCUUGACGGUAUCGUAAGAAUAAGGACCGGCUAACUCCGUGCCAGCAGCCGCGGUAAUACGGAGGGUCCAAGCGUUAUCCGGAAUCAUUGGGUUUAAAGGGUCCGUAGGCGGUUUAGUAAGUCAGUGGUGAAAGCCCAUCGCUCAACGGUGGAACGGCCAUUGAUACUGCUAAACUUGAAUUAUUAGGAAGUAACUAGAAUAUGUAGUGUAGCGGUGAAAUGCUUAGAGAUUACAUGGAAUACCAAUUGCGAAGGCAGGUUACUACUAAUGGAUUGACGCUGAUGGACGAAAGCGUGGGUAGCGAACAGGAUUAGAUACCCUGG